rnacentral:rRNA from 1 species
CGGCGUGCUUAACACAUGCAAGUCGAGCGAUAGAAGCACCGUUCGGGUGUGAAUUAGCGGCGAACGGGUGAGGAACACGUGAAAGAAUCUGCCUUCAACUCGUGGGAUAACUCCGGGAAACCGGGCUAAUACCGGAUAUGAGCCUUGAUCGCAUGAGUCGGGGCUGGAAAGUUUUUCGGUUGAAGAUGACUUCGCGGCCUAUCAGCUUGUUGGUGAGGUAAUGGCUCACCAAGGCGACGACGGGUAGCCGGCCUGAGAGGGCGACCGGCCACACUGGGACUGAGACACGGCCCAGACUCCUACGGGAGGCAGCAGUGGGGAAUAUUGGGCAAUGGAGGAAACUCUGACCCAGCGACGCCGCGUGAGGGAUGAAGGCCUUCGGGUUGUAAACCUCUUUCAGUAGGGAAGAAGCGAAAGUGACGGUACCUACAGAAGAAGCACCGGCUAACUAUGUG